CGCGCUCGGCGGGUACCGGUACACCAUCAAGGCCUACACGCUGGAGCGCGUGCGAGCUCGCAACUUCGCGCGCGCCUGGGCGUUCGUGCAGGCGGCGGCCUCCGGUGGCUGCCUGGUCGGCGCACCGAUCACAGCUUACAUCAACAAAGCCUCCUUCAAGGCGGGAUUUUACUUCUCUGGCGCAAUGGUUCUCUUGAGCUCGUGUACGUUCUUUCUGAUGAACUUACACCGGAAGAAACUGAAGACAAUGAACACCGUCACUUCAUGCGCGACAGUGGACAGACAGCUGACGACUGGAAAUCUAUCCUGCCGCCUGUCGGUUAACCAAGAAGUCAACCACAUCGGGUGCAGAUGUGCGUUUUCGCCGGUGGAUGGCAGUGCGGGCGCUUCGCUGAGCGGAAGGAGGGCGCCACCUCUGCGGCAGGUGGGAAAGUCGAUAUCAUUCGCGAACUCUGUGGAUGUGCUAGGAGUGGACCUGGUAGAGAGGGUGCCGGACGGCCUGACGUGCAUUUCGGAGGAAGGACUGCUCGAACAGAUGGGUCACUAUAGCUACCUCUUCCCCGGCGACUGCAUAACCAGCUGUGAUAAGGUGGAGGACUUCCUCAUUCGUCAGGAGUUCACGAAUCUGCGGGGAGAUUGUGACGGUAUGUUCCUUCAGCGACCACUGCAGAUGACCGGCCAUCUCAGCAGAAGUGAGCCAGAUUAUGUUGGUUACCUAUGCUCAAAUAAGGCAACACAUGUCAUUUGAAUAUAACUGGGCUACGGAAGCAGCAUCGAUGGCUGUUAGUUAUUGGUCCUUAGAGGGUACGUUCCACAUUUGUGUAAGGUUUUGAGCUGAAAUAACCGUCUUGAAUGUUGUGUGUUCAUGUUGUGCAAGGAACGAUGACGUUAUCAAUCAAUGACGCAUUGAGGAACAUAAUUACUAAAUACAGAAACCGUGCUGUCUA